UACAGAGGUCCCGGAGCGUUGUUCGGAUUUAUUGGGCGUAAAGGGUGCGUAGGUGGCAAAGUAAGUUGGAUGUGAAAUCCUGGGGCUUAACCUCAGAAUUGCAUUCAAUACUGCUUAGCUAGAGAGCUGUAGAGGAGACGUGGAAUUUACGGUGUAGCAGUGAAAUGCGUAGAUAUCGUAAGGAACGCCAGUGGCGAAAGCGAGUCUCUGGGCAGCAUCUGACACUGAGGCACGAAGGCCAGGGGAGCAAAACAGG
rnacentral:rRNA from 1 species